rnacentral:rRNA from 1 species
AGCAGCCGCGGUAAUUCCAGCUCCAAUAGCGUAUAUUAAAGUUGUUGCAGUUAAAAAGCUCGUAGUUGAAUUUCGGGAUCAAUAUAUCGGUCGUGCCUUGGUACGUACUGGUAUCAUUGGUUUCUCCUUUCUGACGAACCAUGAUGUCAUUAAUUUGGUGUUAUGGGAAGUUAGGACUGUUACUUUGAAAAAAUUAGAGUGUUUAAAGCAGGCUUUAGCUUGAAUACAUUAGCAUGGAAUAAUGAAAUAGGGCGUUCGAACCUAUUUUGUUGGUUUCUAGGAUCAACGUAAUGAUUAAUAGGGAUAGUUGGGGGCAUUAGUAUUCAAUUGUCAGAGGUGAAAUUCUUGGAUUUAUUGAAGACUAACUACUGCGAAAGCAUUUGCCAAGGAUGUUUUCAUUAAUCAAGAACGAAAGUUAGGGGAUCGAAGACGAUCAGAUACCGUCGUAGUCUUAACCAUAAACUAUGCCGACUAGGGAUCGGAUGAUGUUAAUUUUUUAAUGACUCAUUCGGCGCCUUAC